rnacentral:rRNA from 1 species
UGGGGAAUCUUCCGCAAUGGACGAAAGUCUGACGGAGCAACGCCGCGUGAGUGAUGACGGUCUUCGGAUUGUAAAGCUCUGUUAAUCGGGACGAAUGGUUUGUGUGCAAAUAGUGCAUAGACAUGACGGUACCGGAAUAGAAAGCCACGGCUAACUACGUGCCAGCAGCCGCGGUAAUACGUAGGUGGCAAGCGUUGUCCGGAAUUAUUGGGCGUAAAGCGAGCGCAGGCGGUCAAUUAAGUCUGAUGUGAAAGCCCCCGGCUCAACCGGGGAGGGUCAUUGGAAACUGGUUGACUUGAGUGCAGAAGAGGAGAGUGGAAUUCCAUGUGUAGCGGUGAAAUGCGUAGAUAUAUGGAGGAACACCAGUGGCGAAGGCGACUCUCUGGUCUGUAACUGACGCUGAGGCUCGAAAGCGUGGGUAGCAAACAGG